rnacentral:rRNA from 1 species
UACGAAGGGGGCUAGCGUUGUUCGGAAUUACUGGGCGUAAAGCGCACGUAGGCGGGACGUUUAGUCAGGGGUGAAAUCCCGGGGCUCAACUCCGGAACUGCCUUUGAUACUGGCAUUCUCGAGUCCGGAAGAGGUGAGUGGAAUUCCGAGUGUAGAGGUGAAAUUCGUAGAUAUUCGGAGGAACACCAGUGGCGAAGGCGGCUCACUGGUCCGGUACUGACGCUGAGGUGCGAAAGCGUGGGGAGCAAACAGG